rnacentral:rRNA from 1 species
AUGGCGAACCGAGCAACAUCUGUAGCCAUGGUUUUCAUUAUUCUCGGCAUCAUGUCCUUCGGAAUCUCUGUCGCCGAUGCCGACGCCAGCUUUGUUGCCCGGACUUGCAAGAAGACCAAGAAUGCCUCGUUGUGCAUGUCCGUGUUGCACAUAGAUCCAAAGAGUACCUAUGCCUCCACUGAGUUGGAACUCGCCAACAUCGCGCUGAAGAUCGCCGGUGACACCGCCAACCACAACGCCAAGGUCAUCGAUGACCUAGCCAAGAAAAAGAAGGGCACGCCAGAGGGGGGCGUGUUAAACGUCUGCCUCUGGGCCUAUCAAUUCGCGGGCAACGACCUCGAGGUCAACGUCCGCACUCUCCUUCACGGUGGGGACUACAUUACCGCGUCGAAACUCGUGUUGGAUACCAAGGGCGUCGGUGAUCAUUGCGAGAAUGCGUUUAAGGGGAUGGAGAAGAAAUCCCCAGUGACAAACAUAGAUCGCGAGAUGACAGAGCGAUGUGGCGUCGCAGCCGAACUCAUUGCCCUGCUUAUCCACAAGUGA